AAAAAUUCAUCUGGAAGUUCAUAGGAAAUGGAAAUAUAUACUUGUGCCAAAAGCGAGCAAGGUCGAUCAAUCCACAUCAAGUUUAGAUAGAUAGUGUACUUUUCAUACAAGAAAAGAAAGCCACAACAGCAGUGUGAGACAAAGAACAUAUAUAGUUCCACAAAAGAAUAUUUUUGGAUACAUUCACCUGAUCGUCUUGACAUUCGACCUUUUAUACGCCACAUCACAUGAACCUGCUAUGAGUAGUUUGUUUUGUCACUUGAAACAGAGAGUUAUGAACCUUGAAACAAACUUUUCAAAGUUUGUAUUAUCAAUAACGGCUACCUACACGUGGUGUCGAGACCGAAGACACAUAAGAGAUUUCUUUCAACCUUUGACCAACCCCAUAGUUAUUGUCGCUCUUCCGUCCACACCAUUCAGCAGACAGACUUGCCCCAUGGCACAUCCAUCACCCUGCCAACAUGACACAAUCCAGGUGACUUGCCACAUGGCGCAUCCAUCACCCUCCUUUCAUCAAACCAUGUUCUGUUAAAAGGAUAAAUUGGUUAGCAGUCAUACAGUCCUAUAACCCAUCAUACAAAUUACCUAAAUAGUGAUACCUUUGUGCUCAAUGAACAAUGCAGAAGACAUGAACAAUACAUGUGUUGGUUAAUAAUAAAAGGUGUGCUACCAACACACUUGAAAGGCAGAAGAUGUGAACAAUACAUAACAGGCCUUGAAAUAAAUCCAUUUAAGAAAAUUAUGACUACAAUUGAAUGGACAGAUUUAAUCUGCUCCCACAUGUAUGUAACCGUAACAUGUAGCUUGUAUGGAGAAGAAAAGAAAGCAGACCACAUGAUCUGAAGCAAAUGAACUGAAGAAAGCAGGUCACAUGAUCAUAUUCAGAGCACAAAUUAACAGAAAAGUAGGAAAGAUAGCAGAACAUAUGUUAGUAUGCUACAGAUCUGCGACCUCAAAACAACCCAUAAGAUGGUACUAAACAUGUUAGGACCCUCUUUUCCUUUUCUAAUUUUAUCCUUCCCCAACCAUGGCUUGAGGAUACCAUGGUUUUACAUGUACUUGAGGAUGCCUGUCAUUAUCUAAACUGAUCAUGUUUAAAGUCCCUAUCUGAUGUAGACUAAGCAGGAGAACACUGUAUGAACUUUACUACUGAUGAUAAGGUAUCAUGUACGAACUUUAAUGUUCUAAAGCCGAGAAUAUAACGUAUCAUGUAUGAACUUUAAUACUGAUGAUAUAUAGUGAAAACGAACAUGUGCGAGAUUACUGAAUAACCUGUCAAGAAUUGAUAUUUGCACAGAAAUAUGGAUUGAGAAAUCUGAAACCUGAGCAAGAAUGGUUUAACUACAAAUAUAUUCAAUCCUUAUUUGAAUUUAUGGCAAGUCAAGAAUCUAUUAUGGCAAAUCUUAGCAUCGUAUCCUUUUCUGUGAGCACUCAUUAAUUGGAAUAAUGAAAAGGAGGUGCACUUAAUCCAAAUCCACAUGAAUGUUUGCCUUUGUAUGAUGGUAGAGCCUUAAAUUCGCAAACUUAAAAUACGAAAGGAUGAAACAAUUAGCACCAAGAAUUGGUCAGGUUGUACAAUGACAUUUUUCGAAACCAAAUGCUAACACAAAGUCAAUUACUGCAUAAAAGAGAGAUAGCUUCUAGAAAUCAUACACGCCAAUUUCACGGUUCAGUAGAAAAGAAACACUACAAAGUAAAAAAGCAAGGAGCAAGCAUUCAGUGCAGAAAAAAGACAAUAAAAAUUGCAGGGUAAGAGGCUCACCUUGUUGCUGUAGGUUGACUUUGCUUGGGGAGGUAGUAGCUGCAGGAUCGUAGGAGGAGGCUGAAGCGAGCUCGAGUCGGUCGGUGGCAGCCGGCCACAAUAUUUUGUCGUUUUCAUGCCUGGAACACUACAACAUCAUGUGAAUGUAAAUGAAAAGUAACAUUUGUGACAGUGGUGACCUGCAAGCCACGAUGAUGAGAGGAGAAACAGUCUAGGCAACGACCUCUCCCUACUUGCGUCGCUGCUCCAAUCCAAGACAUAAACAAACCUGGCAAGAGAUCCAAAACAUGAAAUGAGCUCUCCGUCAAAUCAUGAAACAAGAGAAGCAGCCCCAGUAGGUCUACAGGUGCAGCGGCAAGAAGAUUUUAUGCAUAUGCAGACACACCAGA
rnacentral:lncRNA from 1 species